AGUGUGUUGGCAGAAUAGUGCAAUUGAUUUAGGAUCAAUUUAUGGAAUAAAUACCACACACUA
rnacentral:tRNA from 2 species